UUUAAAUGUUUACACUGAUCAGCCACAACAAACCGUCUGCCUAAUAUUAUGUAUGUCCCCCUUGUGCUGCCAAAACAGCUCUGAUGCAUUGAGGCAUGGACUCCAUACGAGCCCUGAAUGUAUCCAGUGGUAUCUGGCACCAAGAAAUUAGCAGCAGAUCCUUUAAGUCCUUCAAGUUGCGAGGUGGCCCCCAUAAUUGGGAUUUGUUGUUCCAGCACACCACACAGAUGCUCAAUAGUAUUGAGAUCUGCAUAAUGUGGAGGCCAAGGCAACACCUCAAACUCUUUGUCAUGUUCUUCAAACCAUUCUGGAACACAUUUUGCAUUGUGAAAGGGUACAUUAUCC